UACGUAGGGGGCAAGCGUUAUCCGGAUUUACUGGGUGUAAAGGGAGCGUAGACGGCUUGGCAAGCCAGAUGUGAAAGGCUGGGGCUCAACCCCAGGACUGCAUUUGGAACUGUCAUGCUAGAGUGUCGGAGAGGCAGGCGGAAUUCCUAGUGUAGCGGUGAAAUGCGUAGAUAUUAGGAGGAACACCAGUGGCGAAGGCGGCCUGCUGGACGAUGACUGACGUUGAGGCUCGAAAGCGUGGGGAGCGAACAGG
rnacentral:rRNA from 1 species